CUUAUCUGGGUCAGUUUCCACCAGAAUUGGUCCAUGGAGGCAUCUGAGUGGCCUGUGGAGCUCAGUGCAGGGGUUCUCUGCCAUAUCUUGAAUUCUGUAGCUCUGAGGCAGCUGCCCAGCCCUCCCUGCCCCCUCAGUGCCACCUCCUGAGUGGCACCAGGGAAUGUUGGAGCAGAAAGGUCUGGGUGGGUGGGAGAUGAGCCUGGCACUCCCUGUCUGCCUGGAGGGGCUGGCAGCCAGGGCUGUCUGAGGCUCAGGGUUGUGGUGGUGAGGUUGCAGCCCAGCCAGCAUAAGGAAUUUCCUUUCUUCUGGCAGAAAAAGAAAGAUGAAAUAUUAAAAGCAUGGCUCAAAGGCUGCUGUAUAUAUAAAAUCUUCUUUUCCCUACUGCUCAGCACUGCUUUGGUGUUGCUCAGAGACAGCAGUCAGUCAGAGCAGGAGAGAUGCCAGACUUCAGCAGAGAGCAGGGAGAGGGGCUGAAGCAAGGGAGAAAGAGAAUUAUCUCAGGUGAAGGCAGUGCCCUCUGAAGCAGGAGGACACCUCCAUGUGGGCCACUGUGCUUGCAUGAGGGAGGAUGGGAGGAGAAGAUGACCAAGGCACCCCUGGAGAAGUCCUGCAGGCUCCCAGCUUGCCAUUUGUGCCAGCCUGGCUCCAGACUGGAUGGAUUUUGCUCCUAACCCAGCACGUUGCUUCCUGCAGUCCUCUCCCCUGGAGCAUCCCUGAGCCACCGAGAGGAGUGAGCUCCAUCCUGGGCUGCCCUGUGGCCAGGGCCUGCUGCAGCCUCCUUGCCCAUCAUUAGUGGCCCAAGGUGUGGAAAGCUCUGCCUGGCCAGCGAGGACUCGUGCUGGCAGAGCAUCCCUGCAGCUGCUUGGAAACACGAGGGAAGAUCCAUCCAGCUGCUCUCAUCCCAGCGUGGUGCACGAGUGCUGCAGCACUGCCAGCAGCAGCAGAAUGCUCUGGAAAACCCACGUGAGGGUUAAAACAAGGAACAGGAGAUGCAGAUGUGCUGGGCCUCCAGAGCUGCUCUGUGCCGUGCUCGAGCCUCCUCCAGAGCAGUCUGAGUCAGAGCCUGAGACGAGAGACACGCAGCUCUGCAGAAUGCAGUUUAUUGUACCCAAGAUGUGACAGCAGCCCAGGGUCACGGGUGACAGAGCCACACCUACAGCUGCCAGCCACAGCUAUAGGCAAGCCUGAAGACACUUUAAUUUUGGUUACAAUGCAUUAUAUAUUUUUAUUCGCUGUGCAUUUAAUACAUAACAAGCAAUCAAUACCUUCACUGUUACCUACAGCCUAUCAGACUGCUGUCGUUACCAUAUUAUGGUCAAUACUAUCCAAUCACAAGAGUCAGUAUGUUACAGUUUAAACUUAAAGUUGUUUUUCAGUUGUCUUGCAGUGGAAAAUUCUUAGAUCUUUUUUCUACUUGCCACAUCAACAUACCUUGUUAGCCUGUGCUAUCUUUCUGCUUGGUGAAAAGAUCUUUUUGUUUGUGGUCAGCUUAUCCUUUGCUCUAAGUCAUAAAAUCUCUUUCCAACUUGACAUAACCUUGGCUUUCUUAGCUGCCCAGUAAGGCUGGCUGAGCAAUCCUCAAUUCAUACAUCUAUUAUUCUUCUAUAUAAAAAAAUUGCUUCCAUCUCUAUUUUAUUCUCAGGUUCUACAUUCAGAGAUCUUUCUGCCAAGCACACAUGUGAGACUUUCUUGUCCAACUUCCAUCCUUCCCAACGAGUCUGUCCCUGUGCCGUGUGUGCCACCAGCCAGCCCUCCCCAGAGGAGCUCCCUGGGCUGAGCUGGAGCAGAGCUCUGUGCUGAGCAUCCUUUCCCUGGCCAGGCAGCUUCCCACAGCCCCCAGCAGCAAAUCCCGGGAGCAGAGUCCCCACUGCCGGCUGUAUCCAUUUGUGUGAGAUCCCACCGAGUGUGUUUUGCAUAAUUUGUUUCCCAGAAUGAAGUGUUUUACAAGCGCAGCAUUUAAUCACCUUCCAGAAAGAGGAUGGAAAAAUCAUCCCCAGCCCGCCGUGCCUGCCCUGCCAGGAGGAGGAGGAGGAGGAGGAGGAGGAGGAGGAGAGGUGGGUGCUGUGCCCCCCAGCCUCUGCCGGCCAGCCCCAUCACAGCUCUUCCCCGGGGCCUUGGCAUUCCUCCACCUCUCUUUGGGUAGAGACACCCAAAACCUGGCAAUUCCAGUAUCCUCCAGCUGAGCGUGUGCAUUUCUGGCAACAAGGGCAACCCAAGCAAGGCUGACAGCACCUGAGCCAGGGAACACCUUCUGGUUCCUGCACAGAACCUGGCCCUUCCUCCAGGCAGAGCAGGUGAAGGAUGAAAAAUCAAAGUAAUGGCCAAGAACGCAGCAUCCACUUGCCUUCUCUUGCCCGUGGCACAGCAAUAAAUCCAGUUAAGGCAUUGCAGCGGGUGAGCCACAAGGGUACCCAGCUGGGAGCCCAGGGGCUCCAGGAGGGUUCUGGCCACCCUGAGGUGUGGAUGUGGCAGCCUGGUCACAGAGCAAGAAAACGUGGCGUUUUCCCUGCUGUCUCGUGGUGCUGAAGGACAGCUCAGACGCCUCGUUAAUCACUGCUGAUGACGGAGCUGUGGCACUGAGGGCCGGGUGGCUGCUGCUUCCCCAGCCAGGGAUAUUUUGCUGAUGCUGCUCCCUAAAAACUCCAGCUGAAAACUGAGGGAAAACUGUGUCCUCCUUGGAGUUGUAGCGUGUGGAAGAAGCUCCUGCUCUGUUCCAGCCUCUCAUUCCUGCCCAUGGGGCACACAAGGCUUUUCAAGUGCCCGGGAGCGGGGCUGGUGUCAGGAGAGGCUGCACAGCCCAGCAGCUGCGGUGCUGGAGUGGAUUUGAACAGCAGCUCCUGCAGGGACAGCGGGCAGAGAGCUGAGAGCCCCUGGAUGGUGACACUGCCCGAGGAGAUGGCUCUGGGCUGCAGCAGCUGCAGGGCUGGAUCAGGAUGGGCCUGCCUCCCCCUGGCACCCACGGAGAGCAGCUGCCCCAGGGACAGGGGCACAUCAGGGCGGGGUGGCCCGUGGGUGUCCCUGCACCAGGUGACAUGGAUGGAGGAGCUCCUGCAGUGCUGCACUGGCCCUUUCCCAGCUGCAUGGAUCCCCCUGCCUGCAAUCCCCAGGGAAUCCACCCACACAGAGCUGCACUCCCAGCUGCAGGAAAGCUCCUGCAGAGCCAGCAGCCUGGGUCCCUCUGUCCCCCCAGCCCACCCUGCCAUGGCUCGUGCUGCUCUGGGCACUGGGCGUGCUGGGACCCUUCCUGUGGGUUUGAUGUGUGUUUAAUCUGGUCGUGAAACCAUAUUGCAAAAUGUAAUAAAUGAGAGGUUUAAUCAAACCCAGCCAGCCAGCACUGAUGGAAACUUGGUGGCGGAAGAAAAUAUUGCAUUCUGUUUGUUUAUCUCCCCCUGUGCUCCCGGGGCCAUGUCCUGCCUCUCCUGAGGAGCUCCUUGUGCUUGGUGGUGCUGGGGGCACAGGCUGGAUGUGGGGCCACUGCAGUGGGGUCACUGGCAGCUCCCAGCCCCAUGCCUUGGCUGGCUUCCCAGCAGUGGGAUCUCCCUCCUGCCACUGCCCUCACAGCCCUUUCUCUUCAGGGUCUCUCAGGGUACCCCUGUUCAAGGAGCUGCUGUGGGGCUCAAGGCCUCCAUCCCACCUUUCCUAUCACCCAGAUGGCACCAGGAUCCAGUCUUAGGGUGUCUCCAGGUCUUGUCUGCCUAAAUCUUAGGCACGAUGUGGGAAGGUUGAGCAUCUCCCCAGGGUGGGAACAGUUCUGCCAAGGGGGGGAGUGAGGAUAAAACCACCAGGUUUCUCCGGCUCUGAACUGGGGGCAAAGCAUCCCAGUAAGCAGUCAGUUGAUGUGGCUGGGAAUGAGGAGAGGCUGCAUUUCCCCUGAGCAUCACAGCCUGGGAACGCACGGAUCCCGGGGCUGCGGGGCCAG